CCAAAAAAAACUGCCCCCUCCCCUCACCCGCACACCUCUUCCCACGACCCCGUCGCCCGUCGGUUCGCCACCGCCGCCCCACGCGAUGCCGGCCAUCUCUCCCCUAUUUCUAUCUUCUCCCAUCCCACACGACAAGAGCACGGCGGAGGGCGACCGCCAUCUCUCUCUCCCUCGCCCCCCUCCGCCUCACCCGUCUCUGUCUCCUCUCCCGCACCCCCGGCACGGCCUCAUGCUUCCAGGCGCUCGCCUGGAAGGAGGCAGCCGCCUCAACAGUCUCCGGUGCCGGUGUGGGCACGGGGAGCGGGCUGCUCUCGAUGCUUGACCCGACGCUCACCAACGAGGAGCAGUACUGCCGUGAGCGCACCCAGGUGCAGGCGCAAGGGCAUUGAGGCAGAGAGGUUCACCGUAGAGGGGAUCUCAGUGAGCAGGCACGAGACAUGCGUCACUGCGCCGGCCCCAUACUGCAGCAGUGAUUGGUUCAACAACGAUUUGUUCACUGCCUGACAUUUUUGUUUGAGCAGCUUCAGUAUUAUCUUUAUCUAAUUGCUUGUCAAGUUGCUAAUUGGAGUCUUCAGAUUCUUAGUUACAUUGUAGGUCAGUAAAUCUAAUGUGUGACAUCUUUGAGUUUUCAUCUGGAAGUUAAAUAAAUCUAGAUCGCUUGAGAAUGAUCAUGAUACUGAGAUACAUGCAAGCAUAUCUGAUUUGUUCACUGUGUUGUUACUUACACCGGGCUUGUACCUUGCUUGAGUAAGUAUUUUCUUGUGCAUUUCAGUACGUAAUGUUAAUUAUGCUUUUUUUCCUUCCUCAGGAUCGACAAAUUAUCAAGCACACAUGGUACGAUCAUCAAGUAGUCGUGCGGUGUAUUGCAACAGCCGUGAGGUAAAUGAGAGGGGAGAUCCAGGCGCCGGAGAGGAGGAAGAAGGUGGUCAAGGCCACACAUCAGCUGAAAGUCCUCCCCCCCCCCCCCGCCAGACAGGCACAUGUUUGGUUGCUGUUGAUCCUGCAUUACGGUGCACACAAUCUGUUUGAGGUUAAAAUGAUGGUUGUUCUUGGGGAGCUUGGAGGAAGUGAUGAGUAUUUGCUCCUCGAAUCUUUGAAACAAGGAAAGGUUCAGAAACCUGUUGUUGCUUGGGUUAGUAGGACGUGUGCAUGUCUGUUGAAAUCCGAGUCCAGUUUGGCCAUGCUUGUGCGAUGGUGGUGAGGUGGAAUCUGCACAAGCUAAGAAUCAGGCACUAAGGGAUGCUGGGGCUGUUGUUCCUACUUCAUUGGAAACUCUUGAAAGGAUUAAGGAGACAUUUCAGAAGUUGGUUGAGGAAGGAACAAUUCCUCCUGAAAAGGGGUAAGGGGAAGGUCCUGAAAAGGAACAAGCUGGAGAAGAUAGAUCUUAUCACCAAAUAUACGUGGAGGAAGAUGAAGAAGCAAGACCCUAAGAUGGACGACUCUUAGAACAUAACUGACAAAUAAGCAGAGAAUUGUAGGUGCUAUGGAAUCGAUGGGUGGUCAGAAUUCUUAUCAGUAAUAGUUCAUGCUUGAUGUAUGUAGCUCUCCCCUGGCCUACUACAUUCAGGACACCUGCCCUGCAGUCGGUAUCGAGAAAUUAUGUCCAUUGCUUUUUCUACUACAUUGAGGGCUACAUGUGUUUCGAAGAGAGGUUUACAGUUGAGAUUUCUUUUGCUUUGUAGCUUCACAUGUUCAUACUUCCACCAGAUAGUCUGAACAAAUAUCACUGCAAGAGCCCCAUGCUGUAAAUUGAGUUAACUUUUAGCUUUGCGGGUAGUCAACCAAAUUUUGGUGCUUGGUUGAUAGCCCCUACCCAUUUAUCAAUGACAAUUGCCAUCACCUUUGUAAGCAAUAUUUCUGGUUCUGAUAAAGAACCAAGUUAUACUUAUUUGUUUUCUGUAUAAA